AUUGAACGCUGGCAGCAGGCUUAACACAUGCAAGUCGAGCGGGGUGAUGGUGCUUGCACUAUCACUUAGCGGCGGACGGGUGAGUAAUGCUUAGGAAUCUGCCUAUUAGUGGGGGACAACAUCUCGAAAGGGAUGCUAAUACCGCAUACGUCCUACGGGAGAAAGCAGGGGAUCACUUGUGACCUUGCGCUAAUAGAUGAGCCUAAGUCGGAUUAGCUAGUUGGUGGGGUAAAGGCCUACCAAGGCGACGAUCUGUAGCGGGUCUGAGAGGAAGAUCCGCCACACUGGGACUGAGACACGGCCCAGACUCCUACGGGAGGCAGCAGUGGGGAAGAUUGGACAAUGGGGGGAACCCUGAUCCAGCCAUGCCGCGUGUGUGAAGAAGGCCUUAUGGUUGUAAAGCACUUUAAGCGAGGAGGAGGCUCUUUUGGUUAAUACCCAAGAUGAGUGGACGUUACUCGCAGAAUAAGCACCGGUUAACUCUGUGCCAGCCGCCGCGGUAA
rnacentral:rRNA from 1 species